UUGGUCUUGUCUGCCGGUAAAUGUUUUAUGCUAACGACGGUUCCAACCGCCGGUAUCUGUUUUUUAAAUCCAAAAUCCUCAACACGCACGAAGAGAAUUGCAGUUCCCUCUAUUCCAAUCUUUCACCAAGACCCUCAUACCUCUCUCUGUGUCGCUCACAAACCGUCUGUUUUCCGUCCUCUCCACCAUGGUCCUCUCUACCAUGUCGUCUUCUCCAUCUUCAUCCUCUCUCAUCAUAACGACACAACCUUCUUCUACAAAACCCUAAAUGUUAGGUUAGGUUCACCCCCAUCGACCUAAGCCACCAUGGCACCUGUGGUUCGAGACCCUCUCCUCACCGUCGACCCAUCAGUAGCCACGACGCCAUCGAGCUACCAAACUCAGCCACGACAAAACCUACAACCAAUUCGAACUCGAUUCUCCUCCCUCGGCUAAGCUUCAUCUCCGUUUCGUUUCUCGACGCACAUCGCCACGCUCUGUCUCGCAUCAUCUCCAUGGGUUUCGUGAUUCCAAUCACAAGAUGUUGCAGAACCCUCUUGCGUCAUCUCUCUUUGCCCCUUCCAACAACGCCGAUUCUGCAAAAAGCUCUUCGCUGACCACGCAUUGAUUGAUUUUCUCCUUCUUUGUUUUUGGUGGUGGCUGUUCUGGUAUGGAAACGUAUAAUGUUCCUGAAACUAGAAACUCGGAUGCUUUCUUGGUUGAAGCUGCUGAUAUAAACUCGCACUUCCCAAGCUCAAAUCUUGAACAAACUGAAGUUGAGUAAUUAUUAUAAAUAUUUGUAUUAAGCUCUUCCUUUAAUAUAGCUCUGUUUUUGGCAAAUAGUAAUUUUCACAAGUCUAUAUAAUGUAAAUCACUUCUGUACAAUUCAAACUCAAGAAAUAACAUUCAUAAAUUAUUCUUCCAACUUACUCUUUCAUGGUCUAUUUCCAAAUGUGUUGGAUGAAUAUGGUUCUUCUUUGUUUUAUAAGUAAUAUGAUUAACUGUUUUUAUGCUUCUUAUAGACUUAGGUGGAUUCCUAGCUAAACAUAUAUAAACACCUAAGCUUUAUUAUGUAUGUGUAAAGAACAAUGGAAUAAUAAGAGUAUUUUUUUCUUUGGGCAGAAUUGACAUGCUGGAGAAAAAGCAGUGAAAACUGGGUUUUCUCUUUCUUUCGAGUUGCUGAUUUGCUUAAUUUUAAGAGGAAGAGCAGAGUGUUUUGCCCGGACCCUGUCGCACCACGAGGCGCUAUCGGCGAGUUGAGUUGUUUGGGAGUGCAACCAUAAUCGAGCGGCAAAUUUCGUCCAAGGCUAAAUACUGGCGAGACACUGAUAGCGAACAAGUACCGCAAGGGAAAGAUGAAUAGGACUUUGAAAAGAUAGUCAAAGAGUGCUUGAAGUUGUCAGGAGGGAAGCGAAUGGGGGCAGACGAUGUGUCUCGGUCGGAUGUGGAACGGUGCAAGCCGGUCCGCCAAUCGACUCGGGACAUUGACCGAUGCAGAUUGUGGUGGUGGCCAAAGCCUAAGAGCAUGGAGGCAAGCACGAAAAACAACCCAAUCGCAACUCUUACACCCUCAUGAACAAUAGACCCAACACCACUAAAUGUACCACACACCCACAAUGCCAAAGAAAGAAAGUAUACAGAAGCAUCGAGCAGAGUCAUGUCUACAUCGCUAGGUUUGAUGACAACUAAAAAUGCACCAACCACAAAUCAUUAGUUUAUGGAGAUAUCGCUUUGACAAUC